UACAGAGGUCUCAAGCGUUGUUCGGAAUCACUGGGCUUAAAGGGCGCGUAGGCGGGUUUCCAAGUCUGUGGUGAAAUCCUCCAGCUUAACUGGAGAAGUGCCGUGGAUACUGGAAGUCUCGAGGAGGGUAGGGGCAUCUGGAACUGCCGGUGGAGCGGUGAAAUGCGUUGAUAUCGGCAGGAACUCCGAUGGCGAAGGCAAGGUGCUGGACCCUUUCUGACGCUGAGGCGCGAAAGCCAGGGGAGCAAACGGG
rnacentral:rRNA from 1 species